UACGUAGGCAGCGAGCGUUGUUCGGAAUUCCUGGGCGUAAAGAGCGUGUAGGCGGUGCUUUAAGUUCGGUGUGAAAUCUUCCGGCUUAACUGGGAGGGUGCGCCGGAAACUGGAGUGCUCGAGCGUGGGAGAGGAAAGCGGAAUUCCUGGUGUAGCGGUGAAAUGCGUAGAUAUCAGGAGGAACACCUGCGGUGUAGACGGCUUUCUGGACCAUUGCUGACGCUGAGACACGAAAGCGUGGGUAGCAAACAGG
rnacentral:rRNA from 1 species